GGUGACUAGGCCCGGCCUACCCGCGGGAGGGAGUGAAAAAUAAAAGAGCGACAGCCUCACACACCAAUCAGAAAGGAGCUCCGCCCGCUGGCCCAACCCCCACUAGCAGCAGAGUAGGCCUUGGGGCGAUGUCACCAUUCAAACAAACACAAGCUUGGUUGAGGAAACACACAUUCAUCCACGCUCCCUUCGCCGCGCUCCGCCUCCUCUCGGGAAGAUGCCUGUCAGGUCCUAGUGCCCCUUGGGUCGCUGUCAAGCUCGGGCCCGUCUGCCCGCUGCCGAACGGUGGGGGCUUCGUUCCCUCCGGCGGCUGCACCUCAUGGGCGGCAGCGCUCCACGCCCUGCACAAGGGUCGGGCUCACCUAGAGCAGGCCCAUCGGGCAGCAGGCCCUAGCUCCGUGGGGACAGGGCACGUAGAGCAACCUCCAGGUUCACUUUUCAUCAAUCCUUUCAUUCACUUCCUGCUUGAAAGCAGGAGCUGGGUACACUCUACUGAUUAUGUGUAGACCAGACAAGCUGAGCUCAGACAUUGUCACAAAGGAGAAAGCAGCUGCUCCUGUAGGACUACACCCACCAAAUUCAAUCAUGUCAGUCCUUUGUCUCCUCCUCUAAGGGUUCAGGUAGCUGGAAGAAAGGACCAGACUGCUUAACACUUACAGGAACUGAGUACGGAGAAAGGAAGGCUUGUGACUUCUCUUUGACCACAGAAACAACAAUCCUUUGAGCUCAGAAAGACACUUCUGAAAAGCAGUUUUUGACUUUGGAAUGAACAGGCACAGGUAUUAAAAAAAACUUAACUGUAAGAAUAUACUCAGAACUCCACAAGAUCAAAUGUUAUUUUAUAUACAACUUGUACACUACAAAUUAUACAUGCCAAACACUACCAGUGCUAUCAGUACUUAAAAUAGUUUUACAGAACAAAUACACAAAUUUCCAACAAAUGCACUUAAUAUACAUUUACUUCCCAAGUAGUAUUCCCUCUUGAUAUUUAUUCUGUUGAAAUGGAAAAAUCAAUUAGGUUUCUCCAUGUUUCCACUCUAAUAGCACAUGCACUACAGAAAAAAAAAAAGAUAUUGACAUAGGCUAAAAGGAGACAUUUAUUACAAGAACUCAAAAGAUUGAAAACCAGGGACGCAUUGCCACACAGAAUAUUUUCAUCUGAAUUAGGUCCCAUUUUUCUGUUUUCCAACCUCUUGUUUUGCGACAGAUGUAGGUUAGAGUUAAACUAGGUUUAUAUUAAGACUGGACUUUACGACUGUAUUUCACGCCAGCAUGACAUUUUGCAUUCAUAUAGACCUCCUAUUUACUUGUGUAUCAUUCAUCCUUGUACAUAUUCAGUGUUACUGAAUUAAAAACUUCUACCUUCAGCCUUGGGCUUUCCAAAGCUAAAA